GCAGGGCUGCGGGGUGCGUCGUCGCACAUCGACCCGGGGGCCUAUAAAUUCCGCAUGGGAGCUGUCCCUGGCCGGGCCCGUGGGCUCGGACAUAUGGCGCCCACCUUACUUUUGUAGGGACCACGCGGGAUCGACAGCGGCACGGCCACUGCGGCUCUGCA
rnacentral:other from 1 species